AGAGUUUGAUUAUGGCUCAGGAUGAACGCUGGCGGCGUGCUUAACACAUGCAAGUCGAACGGGAUCCAAGGGUGCUUGCAUCCUUGGUGAGAGUGGCGAACGGGUGAGUAACACGUGAGUAACCUGUCCUUUUCUUUGGGAUAAGCUCCUGAAAGGGUGUUUAAUACCUUAUGUUCUGUCUGCCUCGCAUGGGGUGGGUGGGAAAGAUUUUUUCGGUGAAGGGUGGGCUCGCGGUCUAUCAGCUUGUUGGUGGGGUGAUGGCUUACCAAGGCUUUGACGGGUAGCCGGCCUGAGAGGGUGGUCGGUCACAUUGGGACUGAGAUACGGCCCAG
rnacentral:rRNA from 1 species